AUCCCGCAAGCUCGCCUCAAAACUCCACGCGUCGGUCGGAGCCGGUGAAUAAAGAUGAAGGCCGACUUUGCUGCGAGAGAGAGGAGAGGAGGCGCGUCGUCGAACGAGAACAGGAGCAGAGCGUGGCUUCAUCCCAGCUCGAUCUGGAUCAAUGACUCUUAGAACUACUCCAUUUAAAUCGUUGGUCGCUAUGUUUCUUUUUAAUAUGUUUUUCUCUCUCUUUUUUUUUCCCUCGUUCUCCGGGGUAAAAGAUGCAAUCUUUCCAAUCGCAGAUGCGACUGUCAUUUUUCUUUCUAGUUUUAACGAUUCCAGUGAGAUCAGGAUGUUGUAUGGAGAAAACCACGGCGACCAAUAUUGCUUUCUUUUGCCCCGAUUCUACUCGUUAAAGACGGAAUCCGAGGCAUUGGGGGUGUUUUUAGGGUUUAUCAGGUUUAUCUUUCUUGGGAGAGUGCAUCCGUUCACCAUUCCAUCUGCGUUCGUUUCGUUGUUUUCUUGUAUUUUUCAAUUGAAAGUGUUCAGAUUGCAGCAUUUAUGUUCAGAAUCCUAUGUUUUGCACGAGAGAUGCGAUUUGUAGAUUAAUGUCUCCUGAUUUAAGUUAAAGACAGCCAUUUCCCCCAAGUUGGCGACUCAAGGAGAUGUCUUUUCUUGAAUGCGAACCGCUUCCGAUUUAAUUUCUCUUUUGCAUACUUCGUUUUCUCCUCGGUUGGAAGCGACGGAGGAUAAGAAAAGAGAGAUCUUGGCCUUGUUAAGGAGUUGCUUCCGGGGUUUUAUUUUGUUAUUAUUAACUUCCUUAUUCCUUACGUAAGGUUUGCGCCUCUCAGUGGAGCUCCUUGGAUGGCCCUAGCCAGAGUGGCCGGAGGUGGAGGCCCGUCACAGUCUUCACCAGCUUCAGGCGUUUUCUUCCAUGGUGAUGGCCAGACUCGGGGAACUCCAAAUGGGGGAAUGAUCAUUGGUGCCACAUGUGCUCAACGGCUUAUGGAGUACAUGUAUUACCAGCGGCAUCGGCUGCCUGAUAAUUCUAUAUUAUACUGGAAGAAAUUUGUGGCUGAGUAUUUUGCACCAUGAGCCAAGAAAAGGUGGUGUUGUGCAUCAUACUGUAAUGGUGGCAAUCGUGCCCCUGGUGUUUUCCCUCAAGAAGCUGUGAGGCGACAUUUGAAGUACUUUCUCGGCUAUGUCAGAUCAAAUUUGACUGUGGACGUCAAUGAGAUUUUAUUUCUUGACAUGACCCAUGAGUUUAGGCUCCCUACAGGAAUGAUGGUGUUGGAGUAUGCAAGAGCUGUUCAAGAAUGUGUCUAUGAACAAGUUCCUGUUGUUCAUGAGGGUAAACUGCGAAUCAUAUUUGUGCCAGAUUUUAAGGAGCUUUGUGCUCAAUGCCAUUAGGAAUUGUUUCUUCGUCAGUUAGUAGCACCUCACGUAUAUAGUGCACCGGUGGCUACAACAAACAUUGCUGAAUGAAUGGACUGACUAUCAUUAAAUGCUUAGAAAGCAUCAAAACAUUUCUUCGUUCCUACAGCGAUGGUGCUUUGUUUUUUCAAGGAACCGCACGUGCGCCACCUGCAGUGCACAAAAAUUUUCGUGCAUAGAGCAAGCCCAAAGCUCCGAAAAUAUUCGGACCAAGCUUAGGGAGGCGUGUGGCCCAGCCUGUCGGAACAAUGCCAAUUAUUAUAAUGCAGGCGCAAGGUGAUUGACAUUUAGAUGCAGGAAUCCUCGCGAGAAGAUUAAGCAUCAAAGAAGAGGCAUCUCAGAACUUCCGAGAAAAAUCAAAAAUUGGAGAAGAAAAGGUGUAGCAAUAUUUUUACAUCUUUUACAUAAAUGAAAUCAUAGGCCAAUGAUACGGCUAUGCUCAAUCCAUCCGAAUAGGAGAUACCAU